rnacentral:lncRNA from 1 species
UGGUAAGCUCCAGAUUCACCGAGGGACGCUGUCUCAGAAAACAAGGAAGGGUAAUAGCAGAUUGGACCAAGGGCUACUCAGCUACAUCUGCUUGUGAAUAUCUGAUGAUGAAGUCAAGUCACCUUAGUGCUUCAAGGUCUCCUUGGUGUCGUCUGAUGUGUGAUCUUCCACCUGUGGGAGAAGCAGACAGGACUCUUGGGGAGUCUCCGGAACACAAUUAAGGAGGCCACAAAAACCUUUCUUUCUCAGUCAUACGCAUUUGAGAACAGAUUUUUCUCCAUCCUUCAAGCAAGGUGACG